rnacentral:rRNA from 1 species
UACGAAGGGGGCUAGCGUUGCUCGGAAUCACUGGGCGUAAAGCGCACGUAGGCGGAUUUGUCAGUCAGGGGUGAAAUCCCGGGGCUCAACCUCGGAACUGCCUCUGAUACAGCAAGUCUUGAGUCCGAUAGAGGUGGGUGGAAUUCCUAGUGUAGAGGUGAAAUUCGUAGAUAUUAGGAAGAACACCGGUGGCGAAGGCGGCCCACUGGAUCGGUACUGACGCUGAGGUGCGAAAGCGUGGGGAGCAAACAGG